CAAACAUAUCAUCUCCUUCGAGUGUGAACAACUCAAAGAAAAAGUGCAACUUGUUAGAUAUUGGUGGCUCGGGAAAGAUAGUUGCUGAAGGACAUUGGUCUUCAAGUGAUCCGAACCAGGUUGUUCACUUCGUUCCUUUAGGUCCUAAUGCUAUGCGUGUUUGGGUUGAUAUCCCUACGAUCCCUAGUGCAUCUCUUUGGAGACCGACAUCUGAGUUAGAAUGCAUUGAAGAUGUCGUUGGUACGACAAUAGCUUGGCCGUCAGACAAAGUUGUUAUGCUUUGAAAAGCUGCAGUACUAGUACUCAAUUUCUGAAGAUGAUGAGUCUCCCAAGUCAUAUGUAAUGCAGCAAAGUUAGUUUUUGUUGUUCUGUGUACUAUGGUUAAUUUCUUGUACUCCAUGUUGGACUAUCCAAAGAUUAGUAUUUGUUUUUUGGCACAUUUGUGUUGACUCUUCUUGUAU